GAGGAAGCCCGGUGCGAAUCCGGCGCGGUCCCGCCACUGUGAGCCCGGCCACCACGGCCGGGUGAGCCAGGAACUC
rnacentral:ncRNA from 2 species